GACGAACGCUGGCGGCGUGCUUAACACAUGCAAGUCGAACGGAAAGGCCCUUCGGGGUACUCGAGUGGCGAACGGGUGAGUAACACGUGGGUGAUCUGCCCUGCACUUUGGGAUAAGCCUGGGAAACUGGGUCUAAUACCGAAUAGGACCACGCGCUUCAUGGUGUGUGGUGGAAAGCUUUUGCGGCGUGGGAUGGGCCCGCGGCCUAUCAGCUCGUUGGUGGGGUAAUGGCCUACCAAGGCGACGACUGGUAGCCGGCCUGAGAGGGUGACCGGCCACACUGGGACUGCGAUACGGCCCAGACUCCUACGGGAGGCAGCAGUGGGGAAUAUUGCACAAUGGGCGCAAGCCUGAGGCAGCGACGCCGCGUGAGGGAUGCCGGCCUUCGGGUUGUAAACCUCUUUCAAUGGAGACGAAGCGCAAGUGACGGUACCUAAAGAAGAAGCACCGGCCAACUACGUG
rnacentral:rRNA from 1 species